rnacentral:rRNA from 1 species
UAGGGAAUCUUCCACAAUGGACGCAAGUCUGAUGGAGCAACGCCGCGUGAGUGAAGAAGGCUUUCGGGUCGUAAAACUCUGUUAUUGAAGAAGAACGUGUGUGACAGUAACUGGUCAUGCAGUGACGGUAUUCAAUCAGAAAGUCACGGCUAACUACGUGCCAAGCAGCCGCGGUAAUACGUAGGUGGCAAGCGUUGUCCGGAUUUAUUGGGCGUAAAGCGAGUGCAGGCGGUCUUUUAAGUCUGAUGUGAAAGCCUUCGGCUUAACCGAAGAAGGGCAUCGGAAACUGGGAG